UACAGAGGUCUCAAGCGUUGUUCGGAUUCAUUGGGCGUAAAGGGUGCGUAGGCGGCGCGGUAAGUCGGGUGUGAAAUUUCGAGGCUUAACUUCGAAACUGCAUUCGAUACUGCCGGACUAGAGUUCGGAAGAGGCGAGUGGAAUUCCCGGUGUAGCGGUGAAAUGCGCAGAUAUCGGGGAGGAACACCUAUGGCGAAGGCAGCUCGCUGGGACGUUACUGACGCUGAGACGCGAAAGCGUGGGGAGCAAACAGG
rnacentral:rRNA from 1 species